rnacentral:rRNA from 1 species
AACGUAGGAGACAAACGUUAUCCGGAGUUACUGGGCGUAAAGGGCGUGUAGGCGGUUUGUUAAGUUUGGCGUGAAAGCUCUCGGCUAAACCGGGAGAGGUCGUUGGAUACUGGCAAACUAGAGGACGGUAGAGGCGUGUGGAAUUCCGGUGUAGCGGUGAAAUGCGUAGAUAUCGGAAGGAACACCAGUGGCGAAAGCGGCUUCCUGGUCCAGCACCGACGUUCAGGCACGAAAGCGUGGGGAGCAAACAGG